rnacentral:rRNA from 1 species
CCUACGGGAGGCAGCAGUGAGGAAUAUUGGUCAAUGGACGAGAGUCUGAACCAGCCAAGUAGCGUGAAGGAUGACUGCCCUAUGGGUUGUAAACUUCUUUUAUAAAGGAAUAAAACGAGGCACGUGUGCCUUUUUGCAUGUACUUUAUGAAUAAGGAUCGGCUAACUCCGUGCCAGCAGCCGCGGUAAUACGGAGGAUCCGAGCGUUAUCCGGAUUUAUUGGGUUUAAAGGGAGCGUAGAUGGGUUGUUAAGUCAGUUGUGAAAGUUUGCGGCUCAACCGUAAAAUUGCAAGUGAUACUGGCAGUCUUGAGUACAGUUGAGGUAGGCGGAAUUCGUGGUGUAGCGGUGAAAUGCUUAGAUAUCACGAAGAACCCCGAUUGCGAAGGCAGCUUACUAAACUGUGACUGACAUUGAUGCUCGAAAGUGUGGGUAGCAAACAGGAUUAGAUACCCUUGUAGUC